GCGGUCAUGGCGGAAUGGCAGACGCGCCAGCUUGAGGGGCUGGUGGGGGCAACCCCGUGGAGGUUCAAGUCCUCUUGGCCGCA
rnacentral:tRNA from 7 species